GAAGGAGUGGCUAAUACCGCAUACGCCCUACGGGGGAAAGGGGGGGAUCGCAAGACCUCUCACUAUUGGAGCGGCCGAUAUCGGAUUAGCUAGUUGGUGGGGUAAAGGCUCACCAAGGCAACGAUCCGUAGCUGGUUUGAGAGGACGACCAGCCACACUGGGACUGAGACACGGCCCAUACUCCUACGGGAGGCAGCAGUGGAGAAUUUUGGACAGUGGCGGAAACCCUGAUCUAGCCAUCCCGCGUGUAUGAUGAAGGCCUUCGGGUUGUAAAGUACUUUUGGCAGAGAAAAAAAGGUAUCCCCUAAUACGGGAUACUGCUGACAGUAUCUGCAGAAUAAGCACCGGCUAACUACGUGCCAGCAGCCGCGGUAAUACCUAGGGUGCAAGCGUUAAUCGGAAUUACUGGGCGUAAAACGUGUGUAUGCGGUUCGGAAAAAAAAAUGUGAAAUCCCACGGCUCAACCUUGGAACUGCAUUUUUAACUGCCGAGCUACAGUAUGUCACAGGGGGGUAGAAUUCCACGUGUAGCACUGAAAUGCGUAUAUAUGUGCAGGAAUACCGAUGACUAACGCAGCCCCCUGGGAUAAUACUGACGCUCAGACACGAAAGCGUGGGGAGCAAACAUGAUUAGAUACCCUGCUAGUCCACGCCCUAAACGAUCUCAACUAGCUGUUGGGGCCGUUAGGCCUUAGUAGCGCAGCUAACGCGUGAAGUUGACCGCCUGGGGAGUACGGUCGCAAGAUUAAAACUCAAAGGAAUUGACGGGGACCCGCACAAGCGGUGGAUGAUGUGUAUUAAUUCGAUGCACGCGCAAAACCUUACCUACCCUU
rnacentral:rRNA from 1 species